rnacentral:rRNA from 1 species
AUUGAACGCUGGCGGCAUGCCUAACACAUGCAAGUCGAACGAGUGGCGGACGGGUGAGUAAUGUCUGGAAAACUGCCUGCUGGAGGGGGAUAACUACUGGAAACGGUAGAUAAUACAGCAUACCACAAGAUGUGACCAGAUGGGAUUAGCUAGUUGGUGGGGGAACGGCUCAACAAGGCGGCGAACCCAAGCUCGUCUGAGAGGAUGACCAGCCAAAGUUGAACUGAGACACGUUCCAGAAGCCUACGUGAGGCAGCAGUGGGGAAUAUGGCGCAAGGGGCGAAAGGCUGAUGCAGCCAUGCCGCGUGUGUGAAGAAGGCCUGCGGGUUGUAAAGUACUUUCAGCGGGGAAGCGUUACCCGCAGAAGAGGCACCGGCUAACUCCGUGCCAGCAGCCGCGUAAUAC